GGGUUGUGAGGUUAAGCGAACAAGCGUACACGGUGGAUGCCCUGGCAGUCAGAGGCGAUGAAGGACGUGCUAAUCUGCGAAAAGCGCCGGUAAGGUGAUAUGAACCGUUAUAACCGGCGAUGUCCGAAUGGGGAAACCCGGUGCACUUCGGUGCAUCAUCGUUAGCUGAAUACAUAGGCUAACGAGGCGAACCGGGGGAACUGAAACAUCUAAGUACCCCGAGGAAAAGAAAUCAACCGAGAUUCCCCCAGUAGCGGCGAGCGAACGGGGAACAGCCCAGAGCCUGAAUCAGCUUGUGUGUCAGUGGAACGGUCUGGAAAGGCCGGCGAUACAGGGUGACAGCCCCGUACACGAAGGCACACAGGCUGUGAGCUCGAUGAGUAGGGCGGGACACGUGAUAUCCUGUCUGAAGAUGGGGGGACCAUCCUCCAAGGCUAAAUACUCCUGACUGACCGAUAGUGAACCAGUACCGUGAGGGAAAGGCGAAAAGAACCCCGGCGAGGGGAGUGAAACAGAACCUGAAACCGUGUACGUACAAGCAGUGGGAGCCUUCGUAAGAGGGUGACUGCGUACCUUUUGUAUAAUGGGUCAGCGACUUAUAUUCUGUAGCAAGGUUAACCGUAUAGGGGAGCCGAAGGGAAACCGAGUCUUAACCGGGCGUUAAGUUGCAGGGUAUAGACCCGAAACCCGGUGAUCUAGCCAUGGGCAGGUUGAAGGUUGGGUAACACUAACUGGAGGACCGAACCGACUAAUGUUGAAAAAUUAGCGGAUGACCUGUGGCUGGGGGUGAAAGGCCAAUCAAACCGGGAGAUAGCUGGUUCUCCCCGAAAGCUAUUUAGGUAGCGCCUCGUGAACUCAUCUCCGGGGGUAGAGCACUGUUUCGGCUAGGGGGCCAUCCCGGCUUACCAACCCGAUGCAAACUGCGAAUACCGGAGAAUGUUAUCACGGGAGACACACGGCGGGUGCUAACGUCCGUCGUGAAGAGGGAAACAACCCAGACCGCCAGCUAAGGUCCCAAAGUCAUGGUUAAGUGGGAAACGAUGUGGGAAGGCCCAGACAGCCAGGAUGUUGGCUUAGAAGCAGCCAUCAUUUAAAGAAAGCGUAAUAGCUCACUGGUCGAGUCGGCCUGCGCGGAAGAUGUAACGGGGCUAAACCAUGCACCGAAGCUGCGGCAGCGACGCGUAUGUGUUGUUGGGUAGGGGAGCGUUCUGUAAGCCUGCGAAGGUGUGCUGUGAGGCAUGCUGGAGGUAUCAGAAGUGCGAAUGCUGACAUAAGUAACGAUAAAGCGGGUGAAAAGCCCGCUCGCCGGAAGACCAAGGGUUCCUGUCCAACGUUAAUCGGGGCAGGGUGAGUCGACCCCUAAGGCGAGGCCGAAAGGCGUAGUCGAUGGGAAACAGGUUAAUAUUCCUGUACUUGGUGUUACUGCGAAGGGGGGACGGAGAAGGCUAUGUCGGCCGGGCGACGGUUGUCCCGGUUUAAGCGUGUAGGCUGACUUUCCAGGCAAAUCCGGAAGGUUAAGGCUGAGGCGUGAUGACGAGGCACCACGGUGCUGAAGUGACAAAUGCCCUGCUUCCAGGAAAAGCCUCUAAGCAUCAGGUAACAUCAAAUCGUACCCCAAACCGACACAGGUGGUCAGGUAGAGAAUACCAAGGCGCUUGAGAGAACUCGGGUGAAGGAACUAGGCAAAAUGGUGCCGUAACUUCGGGAGAAGGCACGCUGACAUGUAGGUGAAGCCCCUGCGGGUGGAGCUGAAGUCAGUCGAAGAUACCAGCUGGCUGCAACUGUUUAUUAAAAACACAGCACUGUGCAAACACGAAAGUGGACGUAUACGGUGUGACGCCUGCCCGGUGCCGGAAGGUUAAUUGAUGGGGUUAUCGCAAGAGAAGCUCCUGAUCGAAGCCCCGGUAAACGGCGGCCGUAACUAUAACGGUCCUAAGGUAGCGAAAUUCCUUGUCGGGUAAGUUCCGACCUGCACGAAUGGCGUAAUGAUGGCCAGGCUGUCUCCACCCGAGACUCAGUGAAAUUGAACUCGCUGUGAAGAUGCAGUGUACCCGCGGCAAGACGGAAAGACCCCGUGAACCUUUACUACAGCUUGACACUGAACAUUGAGCCUUGAUGUGUAGGAUAGGUGGGAGGCUUUGAAGCGUGGACGCCAGUCUGCGUGGAGCCGACCUUGAAAUACCACCCUUUAAUGUUUGAUGUUCUAACCUGGCGCCGUGAUCCGGCGUGGGGACAGUGUCUGGUGGGUAGUUUGACUGGGGCGGUCUCCUCCCAAAGUGUAACGGAGGAGCACGAAGGUCAGCUAAUCCUGGUCGGACAUCAGGAGGUUAGUGCAAUGGCAUAAGCUGGCUUGACUGCGAGAGUGACGGCUCGAGCAGGUGCGAAAGCAGGUCAUAGUGAUCCGGUGGUUCUGUAUGGAAGGGCCAUCGCUCAACGGAUAAAAGGUACUCCGGGGAUAACAGGCUGAUACCGCCCAAGAGUUCAUAUCGACGGCGGUGUUUGGCACCUCGAUGUCGGCUCAUCACAUCCUGGGGCUGAAGUAGGUCCCAAGGGUAUGGCUGUUCGCCAUUUAAAGUGGUACGCGAGCUGGGUUUAGAACGUCGUGAGACAGUUCGGUCCCUAUCUGCCGUGGGCGCUGGAGAAUUGAGGGGGGCUGCUCCCAGUACGAGAGGACCGGAGUGGACGCAUCACUGGUGUUCGGGUUGUCAUGCCAAUGGCACUGCCCGGUAGCUAAAUGCGGAAGAGAUAAGUGCUGAAAGCAUCUAAGCACGAAACUUGCCCCGAGAUGAGUUCUCCCUGAGACUGUAAGUCUCCUGAAGGAACGUUGAAGACGACGACGUUGAUAGGCCGGGUGUGUAAGCGCAGCGAUGCGUUGAGCUAACCGGUACUAAUGAACCGUGAGGCUUAACCUUACAACGCCAAAGAAGU
rnacentral:rRNA from 1 species